UUGGUCAAGCGGUUAAGACGCAGCCCUCUCACGGCUGAAUCCCGGGUUCGAUUCCCGGA
rnacentral:tRNA from 1 species